rnacentral:rRNA from 1 species
GGAUUAGGCAUGCAAGUCGAACGAGGAUAUAUCCUUCGGGAUAUAAGCCGAGUGGCGCAAGGGUGAGUAAUGCAUAGAUUACCUGCCUCUAGGAUAAGGACAACUUUGUGAAAACGAAGCUAAUACUUAAUAACACAAGAGAAAAUAAUUUUCUUUUGUCAAUGGGAGGGUAGCAAUACCUUUUGCCUAGAGAGGGGUUUAUGUCCUAUCAGCUUGUUGGUGGGGUAAUGGCCUACCAAGGCGAAGACGGGUAGCCGGUCUUAGAGGAUGGUCGGCCACACUGGGACUGAGACACUGCCCAGACUUCUACGGAAGGCUGCAGUCGAGAAUCUUUCGCAAUGCCCGAAAGGGUGACGAAGCGACGCCGCGUGAGUGAGGAAGGCCUUCGGGUUGUAAAGCUCUGUCAGGAGUUAAGAAAUGUAAGUGUGCUAAUACCACAUUUACUUGACGAAGGCUCCAAAGGAAGCCACGGCUAACUCUGUGCCAGCAGCCGCGGUAAUACAGAGGUGGCAAGCGUUGUUCGGAAUUAUUGGGCGUAAAGAGCACGUAGGUGGGUUUGUAAGUCAGAUGUGAAAGCCUUCUGUUCAACGGAAGAAUUGCAUCUGAAACUGCAAGUCUUGAGUGUAGGAGGGGGGAAUGGAACUUCUGGUGGAGCGGUGAAAUGCGUAGAUAUCAGAAGGAACGCCGGCGGCGAAAGCGAUUCUCUGGCCUAUUACUGACACUCAGUGUGCGAAAGCUAGGGGAGCAAACGGGAUUAGAUACCCCGGUAGUCCUAGCCGUAAACGAUGGGCACUAAGUAGAGGGAAUUACCGAUGUUCUCUCUGCCGUAGCUAACGCAUUAAGUGCCCCGCCUGGGGAGUACGGCCGCAAGGCUAAAACUCAAAAGAAUUGACGGGGGCUCGCACAAGCGGUGGAGCAUGUGGCUUAAUUCGAUGCAACGCGAAAAACCUUACCGGGGCUUGACAUGGUAGAAGUAGGAACCCGAAAGGGUAACGAACGGUAUCCAGUCCGUAGCUAUCACAGGUGUUGCAUGGCUGUCGUCAGCUCGUGUCGUGAGACGUUGGGUUAAGUCCCCUAACGAGCGAAACCCUUGUUUUUAGUUACCAGCGGGUUAUGCCGGGUACUCUAGAAAGACUGCCGUCGUCAAGACGGAGGAAGGUGGGGAUGACGUCAAGUCAUCAUGGCCCUUAUGCCCCGGGCUGCACACGUGCUACAAUGGUCGGUACAAACGGAAGCGAAGCCGAGAGGUGGAGCGAAUCCUAAAAAGCCGAUCUCAGUUCGGAUUGGAGGCUGAAAUUCGCCUCUAUGAAGUUGGAAUCGCUAGUAAUCGCGGAUCAGCAUUGCCGCGGUGAAUAUGUUCCCGAGCCUUGUACACACCGCCCGU